ACAACUUUCAGCAAUGGAUGUCUAGGUUGCCACAUCGAUGAAGAACGCAGCGAAAUGCGAUACGUAACGCGAAUUGCAAGACCUUGUGAAUCAUUAAAAUUUUGAACGCACAUUGUGCUCCCGGGAAUCUCCUGGAAGCAUGCUUGUCUGAGUGUC
rnacentral:rRNA from 1 species